rnacentral:rRNA from 1 species
UACAGAGGGGGCGAGCGUUGUUCGGAAUUACUGGGCGUAAAGGGCGCGUAGGCGGCCUGCUAAGUCAUACGUGAAAUCCCUCGGCUCAACCGGGGAACUGCGUGUGAUACUGGCGGGCUUGAAUCCGGGAGAGGAAUGCGGAAUUCCAGGUGUAGCGGUGAAAUGCGUAGAGAUCGGGAAGAACGCCGGCGGCGAAAGCGACUCUCUGGUCGGAAUCUGACGCUGAGGCACGAAAGCUAGGGGAGCAAACGGG